rnacentral:misc_RNA from 1 species
AAAAAAGAUGGGUCUGUUCAGAUCAUCAGCAGCCAUGUUCGUUCUCUUGUUUUUCGCUUUCACCUUGUCCUCAGCCUCUGACAUGUCGAUCAUAUCUUAUGAUCAAACACAUGCUACCAAAUCCAGCUGGAGAACCGAUGACGAGGUCAUGGCUAUAUACGAAGACUGGCUGGUGAAGCACGGCAAGGCCUACAACGCUUUGGGAGAAAGGGAGAGGAGGUUUCAGGUUUUUAAAGACAAUUUAAGGUUCAUUGAUGAGCAUAACUCUGAGAAUCGGACCUACAGGGUCGGGUUGAACCGGUUCGCUGAUCUUACCAACGAGGAGUACCGAUCCAUGUACCUGGGUGGCCGGAGUGGUAUUAAAAGGAACAGGUUGCGUAAAACCAGUGAUCGUUACAAUCCACGUCUCGGCGAGUCUUUGCCGGAUUCCGUUGAUUGGAGGAAAGAAGGAGCCGUCUUAGAGGUCAAAGAUCAAGGAAGUUGUGGGAGCUGCUGGGCUUU